rnacentral:rRNA from 1 species
CGCCUCUUGACUAACAUAAGAGGUCCAGCCUGCCCAGUGAUAUAAUUCAACGGCCGCGGUAUCCUAACCGUGCGAAGGUAGCGUAAUCACUUGCCCUUUAAAUAAGGGCUAGUAUGAACGGCAUCACGAAGGUUAUACUGUCUCCUUUCUCUAAUCAGUGAAACUAAUCUCCCCGUGAAGAAGCGGGGAUAAACUUAUAAGACGAGAAGACCCUAUGGAGCUUUAAACAAAUAACAAUUGCUAUAAAUAUCCAAAUUUCAGAAUUAUAAAAUUUAUUUUUAGUAAUUUGAUUACUAGUUUUAGGUUGGGGUGACCGCGGAGUAAAAAUUAACCUCCACAUUGAAAGAAAUACUUUCUAAACAAAAAACUACAACUUUAUGUAUCAAUAAAUUGACAUCAAUUGACCCAAUAUUUUUGAUCAACGAACCAAGUUACCCUAGGGAUAACAGCGCAAUCUACUUCAAGAGCCCAUAUCGACAAGUAGGUUUACGACCUCGAUGUUGGAUCAGGGUACCCCAGUGGUGCAGCCGCUACUAACGGUUCGUUUGUUCAACGAUUAAAACCCU